rnacentral:lncRNA from 1 species
GUUACGUAAGAAAAGUAGAAAGUAAUACUUACCAGCUUUCUAAAGCAGUAUCUGGAAUAAGGGAAAGAGAGAAUACAUUGGUCCAUAAUAAAUAGCAGCUACCUUACAUUGGGCCUACCACAGUGGUGCUCUUCUUAUAUUCAUGGUGAGUUAUAGAAAGGUGGUGGACAGCAAGUGGAGGCUGAGCACCCUACUGGAGAAGACAUCAUCACAGUGUGGCGGGUGGUGCUUGGAAUGGGAAAUAGAAGAGGAUCAAUGACAACCCUCGCCUUACAAUUUUAUCUCGAGUCAUUGUCAAAGCUUUAUUUCAUUUUCCUUUUUAUUAUAUCCUGAACUCCUAAGUGUUCAGGAUGGCUUUUUUUUUCUUUUUUUGGCUUUUCAUGUUUUGUACUCAGUCUGGUACAAACUGAACACAAACCUGAUGAAGCAGUGGACGCAGCUGGAUGAGAGUUCUGGAGGAGGCUGGCAGGAGGUGACAGAAGCAGUUUGCUUCGGUGGGAUCCAGUGUCCAUCCACUGUCACGCAGAGGACGCCUGGUGGUAGAAGGCAUGAGGAGCUGAAGGCAUGAGGAGCUGCGUUGUUGGUGGCAGGGUCUACCUUGAAACCAGUUCCUGUGAAGAAUGUUGCCCCAACAUCAAGAAGGCACAAGUGGGGGCACUUGUGUGGCUCAGUGGCUGAGUGUCUGCCUUUGGCUGAGGUCAUGAUCUCAGGGUCCUGGGAUCAAGUCCCACAUUGGGCACGGAGCCUGCUUCUCCCUCUGCCUGUGUCUCAGCCUCUCUCUGGGUCUCUCAUGAAUAAAUAAAUAAAUAAAAUGUUUAAAAAAGAAGAAGGAGGAGGAGGAGGAGAAGAAGGCGGCAGCAGAAGUAUCCUGGGCCGUCUGAUUCGCAUCCUCAAUAUAGCCCAUCUCAAAUUGAACAUGGAAGUGAACUUUGAGGGACAGGUCAGGACCUAGAAGAGCUUAACUUCUUCAUAAAGUGAUGGAUAGAUUGAAAAUUUGCAGAAAGAAACCACUCCAUUUCUCAGGCCAUGGCAAACACUAGAGACACACAUGAAGUGUACUUUCCAACAUGCAAGUCUCUAUCUCUUCUUUAAAUUUAAGUAACUAGGGAAUCCCUGGGUGGCUCAGCGGUUUGGCGCCUGCCUUGGGCUCGGGGCGUGAUCCUGGAGACCCGGGAUCAAGUCCCACGUCGGGCUCCCUGCAUGGAGCCUGCUUCUCCCUCUGCCUGCGUCUCUGCCUCUCUCUCUCUCUGUGUCUUUCAUGAGUAAAUAAAUAAAACCUUUAAAUUUAAGUAACUACAUGCUGUUUCAUAGAGAAGCCUUGGAGAAAGUCCAGAAAGCAGUCCAAAGGAGAAAUGAGGGCUGAAAAGCAGUGCUCCCCGCCAACAUCCGUUUCAGCAGGAGCCCCUGGUGCAGCCCCGGGAGCACCUUCAGCUCCCGCCGGAGGCAGCCCGUGGGCGCGGGUGUCACGUUUCCACGAUGGCUCUUGUUACUGACCCCGUGGGCGGCAGGAAGGAAGAGGAGUGACCGUGGUAUUCACCGAAAGACCAGCUUGUCCCACUGCCCGCCCAGAAGUCUAAUUCUUAGAUGGCUCGACCACGGAGUUGUGUGGUGCACGAGGGGAUUUCCACUUUCAAAAAUAGUAUGACUUCAGUUAAGUUUGAGAUUGCAUUUUUGGGAAGUUUGUUAAAUUU